rnacentral:rRNA from 1 species
GGCCUACGGGGGGCAGCAGUAGGGAAUCUUCCACAAUGGACGAAAGUCUGAUGGAGCAACGCCGCGUGAGUGAAGAAGGGUUUCGGCUCGUAAAGCUCUGUUGGGAGUGAAGAAAGAUAGAGGUAGUAACUGGCCUUUAUUUGACGGUAAUUACUUAGAAAGUCACGGCUAACUACGUGCCAGCAGCCGCGGUAAUAAGUAGGUGGCAAGCGUUAUCCGGAUUUACUGGGUGUAAAGGGCGUGGAGGCGGGGGUGCAAGUCAGAU